rnacentral:rRNA from 1 species
CCUACGGGAGGCAGCAGUGAGGAAUAUUGGUCAAUGGUCGGGAGACUGAACCAGCCAAGCCGCGUGAGGGAGGAAGGUACAGAGUAUCGUAAACCUCUUUUGUCAGGGAACAAAGACUGGGACGCGUCCCCGGAUGAGUGUACCUGAAGAAAAAGCAUCGGCUAACUCCGUGCCAGCAGCCGCGGUAAUACGGAGGAUGCGAGCGUUAUCCGGAUUUAUUGGGUUUAAAGGGUGCGCAGGCGGUCUGUUAAGUCAGCGGUCAAAGCCCGGGGCUCAACCCCGGCCCCGCGUUUAAACCUGGAAGGCUGGAGUGGGAGAGAAGGAGGCGAAAGGGGUGGUGGAGCGGUGAAUUG